UACGAAGGGACCUAGCGUAGUUCGGAAUUACUGGGCUUAAAGAGCACGUAGGUGGUUAAAAAAGUUGGUGGUGAAAUCCCAAGGCUUAACCUUGGAACUGCCAUCAAAACUUUUUAGCUAGAGUAUGAUAGAGGGAAGCGGAAUUUCUAGUGUAGAGGUGAAAUUCGUAGAUAUUAGAAAGAACACCAACUGCGAAGGCAGCUUUCUGGAUCAUUACUGACACUGAGGUGCGAAAGCAUGGGUAGCGAAGAGG
rnacentral:rRNA from 1 species